GUUUAGCUAAACGGGUUCGUGGGUUCAACCUGAAACUGGCCCGAACCCGUUUAGACUAAACCCAAACCCACGAAUUUCGUGUUAGGUUCGUAUCAUGUUUUCGGAUCGUGUCAGAAAUUCACACCCCUAAAGAUAUAUGCUUAAUAUUUUACAUCUCUUGAUGUGGGUCAUGUUCUUCUCAUUGUGGCUUCCUUCGUAUUGCUCCCUUUUCACCGGUACUCGCUGGUGUUGGGGAUGCUUGUGGUGCUAAUGUUCAUCCCAAUUUACAAUUUAUGAGCGCAUUAUAUGGGGCCUUGCUAUAGCUAGGUUGAUUUUCUGACUUAAUAAAGUGAUAUUUCAAAUUUAAAGUGGAACUUUUUGAAUCAAAACUUUAGUUAAAAGUGGUUUAGAUGUAAAAAAGUUGAUGCAUGUGAUUUAACUUGUUGUAUAAAGUAGGUACACUGUUGGGUGGUAUAUGUUACAUACAGAAUAAAAAUGGUUUUGAGUAGAGGUGUAGUGGUUUGAAUUGAUGAACCCAACACGACUAGUAAGCUGACACGUUGUAAAUAGGUCGUAAACAGAUUGAACAUAUACAAUAUUUUUUUAUUUUAUGAGUUUAUUUUUUAAUAGGUUGACGUGUUAACUUGUUUGAUUAAACAGGUUAUAUAAGUCAGCUUAUUUCAUUUUACAGUUUAAAUGGGUCAGCCUAUUUCAUUCUGCAGUUUAAAUGGGCCAGCCUGUUUCAUUUUACAGUUUACACGGGUCUUUUCGAACUAUUAACGAACCGAUCUCGGUUAGCUCUUGAGCGGUCUGACUCUUGUUUACACCCCUAGUAUGGAAGGAUAACACUGAUUAAUAUUUGCAUUGUUUUGUUCAACCUGCAGGACCUAUGUAGGAUCGUUGUUGAACCCGAAUGAGUCAAUCAGAAGAGUUGUGAAUCCGAUUCAAAGGCGGAAUCAGUGAAACGGACGCUCAAACUAAUUAUAAUGCUUCUUUGAUUGAUUUAACAACGUUUACAACCUGAAAGCAAUUUGGCAGCACUUCGUUACAAUUUCCAGAUCUGUUGCCAAAUGAACAACAAUGCACCUAUAUAUAGUUGAGUCAAUAGACGUAAUGCACUAACAGACUCCCCCUCGGAUAUUGACAAAGUCUUCAGUGGCUAUUCUCUGUUAUGACACCUCUUCAGUCUUGAUCAUUUUGCCUUCUCAUUCAGAUUGUA
rnacentral:lncRNA from 1 species